rfam:Ixodes scapularis strain Wikel colony gcontig_1108379506982, whole genome shotgun sequence.
GCAGUCGUGGCCGAGUGGUUAAUGCGCUGGACUAGAAAUUCAUUGGGGUCUCCCCGCACAUGUUCGAAUCCUGUCGACUGCA